GACCGCGUAGCUCAGAUGGCAGAGCAUUGGGCUAGUAUUCCAAAGGUCGUAGGUUCGAUUCCCACCGUGGCCG
rnacentral:tRNA from 1 species